CAUCUACUCCCUCCAUCCCAUAUUAAGUGACUUUCUAUUACAUGUAUCUAGACGCUUUUUAGGCAUAGAUACAUUCAUAUUUGGACAAAUUUGAGUCACUUAAUAUGGGACGGAGGGAGUAUUUG
rnacentral:pre_miRNA from 1 species